rnacentral:rRNA from 1 species
AACGAACGCUGGCGGCAGGCCUAACACAUGCAAGUCGAGCGCCCCGCAAGGGGAGCGGCGGACGGGUGAGUAACGCGUGGGAAUUUUCCUCAAGGUACGGAACAACUCAGGGAAACUUGGGCUAAUACCGUAUGAUGUCUAGCGACCAAAGAUUUAUCGCCUUGGGAUAAGCCCGCGUCAGAUUAGGUAGUUGGUGGGGUAACGGCCUACCAAGCCUGCGAUCUGUAGCUGGUCUGAGAGGACGAUCAGCCACAUUGGGACUGAGACACGGCCCAAACUCCUACGGGAGGCAGCAGUGGGGAAUCUUGCGCAAUGGGCGAAAGCCUGACGCAGCCAUGCCGCGUGAAUGAUGAAGGUCUUAGGAUUGUAAAGUUCUUUCGCUCGGGACGAUGAUGACGGUAACGAGAGAAGAAGCCCCGGCUAACUUCGUGCCAGCAGCCGCCGUAAGAC